rnacentral:rRNA from 1 species
GACGAACGCUGGCGGCGUGCCUAAUACAUGCAAGUAGGACGCAGUUGCGAACGGGUGAGUAACGCGUAGGUAACUACCUAUUAGAGGGGGAUAACUAUUGGAAACGAUAGCUAAUACCGCAUACUAGUAGAUGGACCUGCGUUUUAUUAGCUAGUAGGUAGGGUAAUGGCCUACCUAGGCAACGAUACAUAGCCGACCUGAGAGGUUGAUCGUCCACAUGUGGACUGAGCCACGGCCCAGCCUCUGACUGGAGGGAGCAGUAGGGAAUCUUCGGCAAGUGGGGGAACCCUGACCGAGCAACGCCGCGUGAGGGAAGAAGGUUUUCGGAUCGUAAAGCUCUGUUGUGAAGGAAGCGGUACUUAACCAGAAAGGGACGGCUAACUACGUGCCAGCAGCCGGGUAAUUC